rnacentral:pre_miRNA from 14 species
CGUGACCUACCCUGUAGUUCCGGGCUUUUGUGGGUUGAAAAUCUAAAAGAGAUGUUAAUUCAUAUACACUUAUCAGAAGCUCGUUUCUAUAGAGGUAUCUCACGG